UGCUCAUGCAGCUUUAUACCAUCACUGACUGCAUGCCUGUACCCCUGGCCCUGGCAGUGGGCUACCAUGUUCCAUGUACACCAGCUAGGAUCUAGGAGUCAAGAGUCACCUGCAUCUGCAGCUUGAAAGAAAAGACAAUUGCAAAUUUUCUUAAAGAGUAGAUAGUACCACCAUCUCAAAGAAAAAAUUUACAAAUCACUGCUAUACCGUAUCGGCGUAUAACUCCACCAUGUACCAGCUUCAAAGAAAAAGGAUUUAAGUUAUGUUGCUCAUUGCUAAAUAAAUGUGUUUACGUGUUUCUUCCAGCUGCAGAUUUUACCGUACCUCGGCCCCACAAUGUGUACCAGCUAGGAGUUUACUUAACCACCUUCAUCGACUUCAAAGAAACGACUUGCAAGUUAUGU